GGGUCAGUAGGUUGGUCGUGCCACCGGUACGUACUGGUCUCACUGAUUCCUCCUUCCUGAAGAACCGUAAUGCCAUUAAUUUGGUGUUGCGGGGAAACAGGACUGUUACUUUGAAAAAAUUAGAGUGUUUAAAGCAAGCUAACGCUUGGAUACAUUAGCAUGGAAUAAUGAAAUAGGGCGAUCGAUCCUAUUUUGUUGGUUUCUAGGAUUGACGUA
rnacentral:rRNA from 1 species